rnacentral:tRNA from 1 species
AGAUAAUUAGUUUAAUGAAAACACUUGAUUUCGGCUCAAGAAACCUGUGGUUAGGAGUCCACAAUUGUCUA